AACGGAAUUACAGAUAUUUGUGACUGAAAGGAGCAAACCGGAUCCACUGGAAGUGCAGUCAGAGCACUUAACUUGCCAGCCUUCAUUCAGCCUCCCCAAUGAGCCCUCACCAGUCCCAGCAGACCCUGCCGCUCCCUCCACCUCCAUUUUGGUAAGGAGCGUCUUAGGCCUGGGGAUGAUCCGUGAGGGAAUCCUAGGGCUCAGAAGGCGGAGCCUUACGUGGAGUCGUCGUUAUGGAAACACAGCUAUGCCGGGUGGAGAAGCACAAUUCCUGUCCAGAACUACAACUCCGGCCCAUCCCUGCGCUCCCGGGUCCGCUAGAUGGUGGCCCUCAAGAAAAAAAGCCGGAGCGGGCAGCCACGAGGGGAGCAUACCCAGCCCACCGGGUUAUUCAGACAGACAAGGUUUCUUGUAGCCUAAGCUGCAUCUUACUCAUUAUGUGGUUGACGCUGUGUGUAAACAGAACAGACCUAAGAAGUCCCCUCAUAUCUUCCUGUCAAAGCUGACCAGCAUGCCGAGCCCAACAGCACACGCUUUCCCAGCACAGUUUCUGUUACACUGUGCUCCCUUCUCCCUCAGAGUGGAUCAGUGAUUACGAAGAUUCAGUGCUCGACCCUGAGGCCCUGAGGGUGGAAGUGGACACUUUCAUGGAGGCCUACGACAACAAGAUAGCUGAGACCUAGCACAGCUGGGCAAGAAGUUCGAGGAGGACAAGCAGAGGAUUGAACUGAUGCGUGCCCAACGCAAAUUCCGACCCUACUGAGCUGUUCUGGAUGUGGAGAGCUGGCAUGGAGAACACAAAGACCGGCAGGCCUGCUGCCUCGGCGACCGUGCUUUGGGAAGCAGAUGCCAGGCCAAGAAGCUGUUGUGUCCCCUAGCUCCAGCUCUACACCCACGCAGGCUGGAAAUCAGCACAAGAGGAAGAUUUGAUCUUGAGGCGCUGCCCCUGCCUCUUCGGGCCUGUGAGGACUUUCCUGGGAAAUGUGACUGCUCUCUGCCCUGAACCUGUUAUCCUCCAUGAAUCGCUACUGUCAACAGAGCCGUUUGGAAGGCAGUAAAGAGGGAGGAAGAUUUUAUUUCCACAGAGACCCAUGAUAAGCACAAGAUCCAGAGACCCAACCACAGCCCUGCUCCCUCAGUGGCACCAGCUUAGUAGAGCUCACCAACUGUAAGCCCCAGAUCACUGUGCCCUUCCUGAAGCCGCGUAUUAAAGCCCUCCACAGAACUCAGGGCCUGGCCCAAACUGACUCACCGAAGCUAUGGCCCAGGAUGGAGAACUGGAUCCAUUUAAAGGCUGAAAAUACAAAGCCAGAAAGAGUUUGCCCGGCCCAAUCUUACUCUGAACGUUUUCCUGUGUCCCGGAAUGGGACUUCCUUCUAAUCCCUGUAGCACCCCCCAGGAGACCAGCUGAGGGGGCUCAGCUCCACUGUGGGAGGAAGCAAGCUUACUCCUCUCAGUUGCUGGUAGGACUUGAGUCAGACCCCAGACAUCCAUUCCCAGCCAGCACCGCCUCCUAGACACUGUAUCCUACUCCUGGGAUGAGAAGGGAUGUCACAGAGG